ACUAGAUAUAGUCAUCACGGUGCCUUCGAGUCGCAAAUGCGGCUUGCGGGCUAAGAGGGAAGCCGGUGCGCGAGAUGUCUCGCAAGACCGGCGCUGCCCCCGCAACUGUAAGCAGUGAGUUCGUGCCGAACAUGUCACUGGCGCUUGGCCGCCGGGAAGACAGGCAGGAGCGUUUGAGCUGCAAGCCAGGAAACCUGCCGUGAUGAAGAUGAAACG
rnacentral:ncRNA from 1 species